CUUGCGGGAGUGAACGACGUGGCUGACCAAGCCACAAAAAGACAGAGAAAGUGUAUGCAUAAAGGAGGUGGAGAAAGACGAGAGAGGCACACAAGAACGACUCAGGCUAGUGAAAAGCAGAAAACAUCUUUGGAAGGAGACCAACUACAGCAUAGGACCUCUGGAUGAUGAACUGAUCACUCCAACAACAACGAGUAUAACUCCUUCAGUGGGGAAAUGCCGUGCUGUCAACCUGUCUGCUCAGUCCUGGGUGGUCACAGUUUGGGCUAGGCUGAGUGUGUGACAACAACACACACUCACACAGGUGAGUGUUUACACACAUAUUCACAUAUUCUUUUUUUUUUUAGUGCGAGCUGUUCGCCCUUGCUCAAAACACCUUAUAACACACCUGGUCUGCCAGAGAAUACGAAGACAGAGCAGAAGUAUGGCAGUUGUCCUUGUUGCCUCAUAAGGAUGGACCCCAAAGACCAAGCAGUGAGUCUCCUAAACAAGAUUUGGGCCAAGCUGCAGGGUCUACCAAACUCCAGCCCCAUCGAGCUGGGAGCUUUCCUCAUCCUCUUGACAUUCAUCGCGGUGUUCCUUAUCAUGAUGGUGGUGACCUGUGCGUCCUGCUGCUGCUGCUGCUGCCGGAAAGCCAGACGAAAGGGAGCGGACAUUUAAAGGCAUUUGAACUACAUGCCAAAAUGUUAAACAGGUUUUUUCCCCAAGGCUGCCAAGUGUCAGGAUGAGAACUUGUGGGAGGAGUCGUGCUCAUAAGUGGGGCCGGGCAACAAGGGUGUGUCCAGCUCUCCAAAACAAAGCAACUGUCACUAACAAGGAUGUCCUGCUUACUGCUAAACACCCAGACUUUCAGGACUAUCGGCAGUCCUUGGAGAGCUCAUGUACAAUAACACCGUUCUUGACCAGAGGACCAGACAAUAUACUACCAAUCCAAUUUCAAAGGGGCACUACCAUCGCACUGUAUGGAAUGGCCUCAAUCUCGUUACCUUGCGUAAUGACAAUAAAGCUGAUUCUGA